GAAGGCAUAGCUCUGUGGUAGAACAUGUGCAUAGCAUGCAUGAGGUCCUGGGUUCAAUCCCCACUACCUCCA
rnacentral:tRNA from 1 species